GGCGCCGUGGCAGAGUGGUCUAAUGCGAUAGACUAGAAAUACCUUGGGUGCUUCUGGCCAUCUAUUCUCUUCGGAGGCGCAUGUUCGAAUCAUGCCGGCGUCG